AAUAGAUACCCGGGUAGUCCACGCCGUAAACGGUGAGUGCUAAGUGUUAGAGGGUUUCCGCCCUUUAGUGCUGCAGCUAACGCAUUAAGCACUCCGCCUGGGGAGUACGGCCGCAAGGCUGAAACUCAAAGGAAUUGACGGGGGCCCGCACAAGCGGUGGAGCAUGUGGUUUAAUUCGAAGCAACGCGAAGAACCUUACCAGGUCUUGACAUCCUCUGCCAACCCUAGAGAUAGGGCGUUCCCCUUCGGGGGACAGAGUGACAGGUGGUGCAUGGUUGUCGUCAGCUCGUGUCGUGAGAUGUUGGGUUAAGUCCCGCAACGAGCGCAACCCUUGAUCUUAGUUGCCAGCAUUUAGUUGGGCACUCUAAGGUGACUGCCGGUGACAAACCGGAGGAAGUGGGGAUGACGUCAAAUCAUCAUGCCCCUUAUGACCUGGGCUACACACGUGCUACAAUGGAUGGUACAAAGAGCUGCGAACCCGCGAGGGUAAGCCAAUCUCAUAAAGCCAUUCUCAGUUCGGAUUGUAGGCUGCUAACCG
rnacentral:rRNA from 1 species